AAUAGAUACCCGGGUAGUCUAUGCCGUAAACGUUGGGCACUAGGUGUGGGGGACAUUCCACGUUUUCCGCGCCGUAGCUAACGCAUUAAGUGCCCCGCCUGGGGAGUACGGCCGCAAGGCUAAAACUCAAAGGAAUUGACGGGGGCCCGCACAAGCGGCGGAGCAUGCGGAUUAAUUCGAUGCAACGCGAAGAACCUUACCAAGGCUUGACAUGGACCGGACCGCCGCAGAAAUGUGGUUUCCCCUUUGGGGCCGGUUUACAGGUGGUGCAUGGUUGUCGUCAGCUCGUGUCGUGAGAUGUUGGGUUAAGUCCCGCAACGAGCGCAACCCUCGUUCUAUGUUGCCAGCGGUUCGGCCGGGGACUCAUAGGAGACUGCCGGGGUCAACUCGGAGGAAGGUGGGGACGACGUCAAAUCAUCAUGCCCCUUAUGACCUGGGCUACACACGUGCUACAAUGGACGGUACAAAGAGUUGCGAGACCGCGAGGUGGAGCGAAUCCCUUAAAGCGCGUCUCGGUUCGGAUUGCAGGCUGAAACCCGCUGCAUGAAGGCG
rnacentral:rRNA from 1 species